rfam:Mycosphaerella graminicola IPO323 chromosome 4, whole genome shotgun sequence.
UCGUACGCUUGCUGUGGACAUAUGAGGUGAAUGUGCGAGUCGAAUCCUCCUGCUGUGACGAUCUUGUGCUCGCCGGCAAUCACAUCUGUAGCAACGCCAACAAUCAUGUUUGGGUCGACGUUCGCCAUCACGUCUGGAUUGCCAGCCUUCCCGAUACCAGCGAUGAGUCCAUUCUUGAUACCGAUAUCGGCUUUGUAUAUGCCACUCCAGUCGACGAUCACCGCGUUGGUAAUGACCGUAUCCAAGCAUUCGCUGUCAGCACGACCCGAAGCCUGGCCCAUACCAUCACGA